rnacentral:rRNA from 1 species
GGCGAAAUUGUAGUGCAAGUGAAGAUGCUUGCUACCCGCGAUUGGACGGAAAGACCCCGUAGAGCUUUACUGUAGCUUAGCAUUGAAUCUCGGUAUUGUCUGUACAGGAUAGGUGGGAGACUUGGAAACUUGGGCGUCAGCCUGAGUGGAGUCAUCCUUGGGAUACCACCCUGACAGUACUGGGGUUCUAACCGGCGGCCAUGAAUCUGGUCACGGGACAUUG